UACGUAGGGUGCAAGCGUUAAUCGGAAUUACUGGGCGUAAAGCGUGCGCAGGCGGUUAUGCAAGACAGAUGUGAAAGCCCCGGGCUCAACCUGGGAAUUGCAUUUGAGACUGCGUAGCUAGGGUGCGGAAGAGGGAAGCGGAAUUUCCGGUGUAGCGGUGAAAUGCGUAGAUAUCGGAAGGAACACCAGUGGCGAAAGCGGCUUCCUGGUCCAGCACCGACGUUCAGGCACGAAAGCGUGGGGAGCAAACAGG
rnacentral:rRNA from 1 species